rnacentral:rRNA from 1 species
UACGGAGGAUGCGAGCGUUAUCCGGAUUUAUUGGGUUUAAAGGGUGCGUAGGCGGAAUGGUAAGUCAGUGGUGAAAUCCUGCAGCUCAACUGUAGUUGUGCCAUUGAUACUGUCAUUCUUGAGUACAGAUGAGGUAGGCGGAAUGAGUAGUGUAGCGGUGAAAUGCAUAGAUAUUACUCAGAACACCAAUUGCGAAGGCAGCUUACUAAACUGACACUGACGCUGAAGCACGAAAGCGUGGGUAU